CAGAGGGUGCGAGCGUUAAUCGGAAUUACUGGGCGUAAAGCGCGCGUAGGCGGUUUUGUAAGUCGGGUGUGAAAUCCCCAAGCUCAACUUGGGAACUGCAUUCGAGACUGCAUAGCUAGAGUAUGGGAGAGAGAAGUGGAAUUUCCGGUGUAGCGGUGAAAUGCGUAGAUAUCGGAAGGAACAUCAGUGGCGAAAGCGACUUCUUGGACCAAUACUGACGCUCAAGUGCGAAAGCGUGGGGAGCAAACAGGAUUAGAUACCCUGGUAGUCCACGCCAUAAACGAUGAGAACUGGAUGUCGGGAGGGUCUGCCUCUCGGUGUCGUAGCUAACGCGAUAAGUUCUCCGCCUGGGGAGUACGGCCGCAAGGUUG
rnacentral:rRNA from 1 species